rnacentral:rRNA from 1 species
CCUACGGGAGGCAGCAGUGAGGAAUAUUGGUCAAUGGCCGCAAGCCUGAACCAGCCAAGCCGCGUGAAGGACGACUGUCCCACGGGUUGUAAACUUCUUUUAUCAAGGAACAAAGUCAGGCACGUGUGCCUUACCGAAUGUACUUUAAGAAUAAGCAUCGGCUAACUCCGUGCCAGCAGCCGCGGUAAUACGGAGGAUGCGAGCGUUAUCCGGAUUUAUUGGGUUUAAAGGGUGCGUAGGCGGUCCGUUAAGUCAGCGGUAAAAGCCCGGGGCUCAACCCCGGCGAGCCGUUGAAACUGGCAGACUUGAGUUGGCGAGAGGUACGCGGAAUGCGCGGUGUAGCGGUGAAAUGCAUAGAUAUCGCGCAGAACUCCGAUUGCGAAGGCAGCAUACCGGCGGCGAGCUGACGCUGAGGCACGAAAGCGUGGGGAUCGAACAGGAUUAGAUACCCGAGUAGUC